rnacentral:lncRNA from 1 species
GAAAUUAAUGAAAAAACAAACAUAGAAUUGAAACUUUCUAAUGAAAUGGUUAUAUUAGACAGAAAUGAAAAAAAAAUCAAACCUAAAGAAUUAAAACUCAAAUAUAUUCGAGACAUGAUUAAUAAGAAUAUAUAUCCAAAAUGUCAACUAAAAUGGCAAGAAUUUUAUGGCCACGAAAUUAAUUGGAAAAUAGUAUGGGGCAAUUUGAAAAAAGUUAAUGUCACCAAUAAAAUGAAAGAAUUUCAAUGGAAAUGCAUACACAAUAUCAUAUAUACGGAAAGUAGACUUAAAAAAAUGCAAUUGUCAAACGGAAAAUGUCAUAUUUGCCAAACUGCUAAUAAUACUGAAAAUCUGCAACAUUUAUUUUUCGAUUGCAAUACAACAAAAUUAAUCAUUAGUAAAAUCAAAGAUAUUUUUACAUUAUGGAAUGUUCAAUUAGAUGAUGAAAAUUUAAAACAUUUUAUGCUUUUGGGAGAUAGCAGUGGUCAAUCGAACCAAACUUUACAUGUAAAUCUCUUUUUUAUUUUGACAAAAUGGUCCUUGUGGAAAAUAAGAAACAAAAUCAAAUAUGAUGGGAUAAAAAUGUCCUCUACAUAUAUUUUGAAUCUUUGGAAAUCAUACAUGAUAACACAUCUGAAAUCUGUACCCUGUUACUUAUCGAAUAAUACAUUAGACAAAGAGAAAAUAAAC